rnacentral:lncRNA from 1 species
AAAUAGUGAAGAGGGACAUUUAACUCAAGAAAGGCGUACAAGGCCAUCCCAGAUAAUAUAGAUAUUCAUCCAUGAAAGAAGAAUGUUAUACUGUUGACGUAGAACAUGGGGAAAGUUCCUUACGACCUUUGCACAAGUAAAGUUUUCUUAAGCAAGACAGAAAUUUAAUGUUCAACUAAACGAAGUCAUCUGAUAGAAUGGAAACUGUUCACUGAGAUACACAAUCAGGAAGGUGAAAUAAGAAUCUCGAAGCUGGCUAAAAGCUUCCUGGAACUCUCUCUGUAGACCAGGCUGGCCUUGAACUCACAAGAUCUACCUGCCUCUGGCUCCGUCUCUGCUGGGGUUCAAGGCUUACACCAUCUUGCCUAGCCUAAAAGGUUUAAUUCUUAGAAGUAAGGCAGAACGGUGGAGUGAGACGUUGGAGAGAUGCCAGUGACUUAGAAUUCGCCCAGGGAUCUAGUCCAGGGCAUGGUGACAGCAAUGGUGCUUAGAAUCAUGAAGUACAGUCUUCUCACACGGAGAAGCAGCCACAGGAAGUACCUGAACACCUUCUGAGGACAUGUCCCUGACUGAGGAUGUGUCUGUCACUAAGCCUCGAGUCUUCAAAAUUCCAUCACUGUCCUGUAUGGCUACCCACAGGGCCAAGUCCCAAAAGAUGAGGUUUUGAAAGAACAAAAGCAACUCAAAUCACAGCAGAGGCCACACAUGGUAUAGCAACAUUCAAACAAACAAAAUUCUACUUCUUUUCUGUUUCUACUACCCAGUCUGUAUGUGGCAGCUUUCGGCAAACAGUCAACAACUUAUAAAUAAAAUACAUGCCUGUAUAGG